GGGCCCGCACAAGCGGUGGAGUAUGUGGUUUAAUUCGAUGCAACGCGAAGAACCUUACCAGGGUUUGACAUCCUGCGAAUCUUUUGGAAACAGGAGAGUGCCUUCGGGAACGCAGUGACAGGUGGUGCAUGGCUGUCGUCAGCUCGUGUCGUGAGAUGUUGGGUUAAGUCCCGCAACGAGCGCAACCCACGUCUUUAGUUGCCAGCAUUAGUUGGGCACUCUGAAAGAACUGCCAGUGAUAAGCUGGAGGAAGGUGGGGAUGACGUCAAGUCCUCAUGGCCCUUACGUGUUGGGCUACACACGUGCUACAAUGGUAUCUACAACAGGAAGCAAGACUGCGAAGUUAAGCAAAUCCCUAAAAGAUACUC
rnacentral:rRNA from 1 species